rnacentral:tRNA from 1 species
GGGGAUAUGGCUCAGUGGUAGAGCUUUUGCCUUGCAUGCACAAGGCCCUGAGUUCGAUCCCCA